AUUGAACGCUGGCGGCAGGCUUAACACAUGCAAGUCGAGCGGAGAUGAGGUGCUUGCACCUUAUCUUAGCGGCGGACGGGUGAGUAAUGCUUAGGAAUCUGCCUAUUAGUGGGGGACAACAUACCGAAAGGAAUGCUAAUACCGCAUACGCCCUACGGGGGAAAGCAGGGGAUCUUCGGAACUUGCGCUAAUAGAUGAGCCUAAGUCGGAUUAGCUAGUUGGUGGGGUAAAGGCCUACCAAGGCGACGAUCUGUAGCGGGUCUGAGAGGAUGAUCCGCCACACUGGGACUGAGACACGGCCCAGACUCCUACGGGAGGCAGCAGUGGGGAAUAUUGGACAAUGGGCGGAAGCCUGAUCCAGCCAUGCCGCGUGUGUGAAGAAGGCCUUUUGGUUGUAAAGCACUUUAAGCGAGGAGGAGGCUACCUGGAUUAAUACUCUAGGAUAGUGGACGUUACUCGCAGAAUAAGCACCGGCUAACUCUGUGCCAGCAGCCGCGGUAAUAC
rnacentral:rRNA from 1 species